GAUGAACGCUGGCGGCGUGCCUAAUACAUGCAAGUCGAGCGAACAGACGAGGACCUUGCUCCUCUGACGUUAGCGGCGGACGGGUGAGUAACACGUGUAUAACCUACCUAUAAUACUGGUAUAACUUCGAGAAACCGUAUCUAAUACCGUAUAAUAUAUUGAACCGCAUGGUUCAAUAGUGAAAUACCGUUUUGCUGUCACUUAUCGAUGUAUCCGCGCCGCAUUAGCUAGUUGGUAAGGUAACGGCUUACCAAGGCAACGAUGCGUAGCCGACCUGAGAGGGUGAGCGGCCACACUGGAACUGAGAGCCGGUCCAGACUCGUACGGGAGGCCGCAGUAGGGAAUCUGGCGCAAGGGGCGAAUGUCUGACGGAGCGAGGCCGCGUGAGUGAUGAAGGUCUUCGGAUCGUAAAACUCUGUUAUUAGGGAAGAACAAAUGUGUAAGGACCUAUGCACGUCUUGACGGUACCUAAUCAGAAAGCAACGGCUAACUACGUG
rnacentral:rRNA from 1 species